AAAAAACUGCCACCGGGCAGCCGCAUCGAACACCAUUCCGUUAGGUCAUUGAAGGAAUGGUGUCCGGUGCUUUUUUGUU
rnacentral:ncRNA from 1 species